UACGUAGGGGGCUAGCGUUGUCCGGAAUCAUUGGGCGUAAAGAGCGCGUAGGCGGCUGGAUUAGUCCGGUGUGAAAUCCACAGGCUUAACCUGUGAAUGCCGCUGGAAACUGUCUGGCUAGAGUCCGGAAGGGGCGAGCGGAAUUCCUGGUGUAGCGGUGAAAUGCGCAGAUAUCAGGAGGAACACCAAUGGCGAAGGCAGCUCGCUGGGACGGUACUGACGCUGAGGCGCGAAAGCGUGGGGAGCGAACAGG
rnacentral:rRNA from 1 species